UUGGAGGGCAAGUCUGGUGCCAGCAGCCGCGGUAAUUCCAGCUCCAAUAGCGUAUAUUAAAGUUGUUGCAGUUAAAAAGCUCGUAGUUGAAUUUCGGGAUCAAUACGUCGGUCGUGCCUCUGGUAUGUACUGGUGUUAUUGAUUUCUCCUUUCUGAUGAGCCAUGAUGUCAUUAAUUUGGUGUUGUGGGGAGUCAGGACUGUUACUUUGAAAAAAUUAGAGUGUUUAAAGCAGGCUUACGCUUGAAUACAUUAGCAUGGAAUAAUGAAAUAGGACGUUCGAUCCUAUUUUGUUGGCUUCUAGGAUCAACGUAAUGAUUAAUAGGGAUAGUUGGGGGCAUUAGUAUUCAAUUGUCAGAGGUGAAAUUCUUGGAUUUAUUGAAGACUAACUACUGCGAAAGCAUUUGCCAAGGAUGUUUUCAUUAAUCAAGAACGAAAGUUAGGGGAUCGAAGACGAUCAGAUACCGUCGUAGUCUUAACCAUAAACUAUGCCGACUAGGGAUCGGAUGAUGUUAAUUUUUUAAUGACUCAUUCGGCGCCUUACGGGAAAC
rnacentral:rRNA from 1 species